rnacentral:rRNA from 1 species
UACGAGGGGGGCUAGCGUUGCUCGGAAUCACUGGGCGUAAAGCGCACGUAGGCGGUCUUUUAAGUCAGGGGUGAAAUCCUGGAGCUCAACUCCAGAACUGCCUUUGAUACUGAGAGACUUGAGUCCGGGAGAGGUGAGUGGAACUGCGAGUGUAGAGGUGAAAUUCGUAGAUAUUCGCAAGAACACCAGUGGCGAAGGCGGCUCACUGGCCCGGUACUGACGCUGAGGUGCGAAAGCGUGGGGAGCAAACAGG